UUUUAGCCCCGAUAGAAGUGAAAAUCCUUUUACUUUUUUCUUUAAAAAGUAAAAGAUUGUAACGGAUAGCGGGAUUAGCU
rnacentral:sRNA from 1 species